CUAGAGAGAAGAACAAGGGAGACUUUGCGCCAGUUCUGAGUCAAAAGGAUGUCUCUUUACCCUUCCUCAAGGAGAUGACAGAAUAUCCAAGUUUGAAGACAGGCUAGAGGAACUGCAACAUUCCAUAAGGACAAGAUAAAUUAAUAAGGUGCAUGCCACUGUGCCCAACUCUUUAUGAGUGCUGGGAAACCAAACUCAUGCUUGGACGGAAACACUGUACCCACCGAGCUAUUGUAUACGAAGAUGGAGUGGAAUCCACUUUCCUAACUGCGAGUGGCCCUAUGAUGACAUAGGGACACCCAAAUGAAUACAGGCCCUAUGAUGAUAUGGUGAUACCCAACUGGAUGCAGG